UAUAGAGAUAAUAUAUAGCAUCUACGCAGCAACCACUGAACUGAAUCAUAUUAUAUAUAUUAUUGUAUUAUAUAUUGUAAAUAUAUAUUGUAUAUGUAUAGGGGUGGGACCUAAUAAGUUUACUUCUUCCCACUCCCUUUUGAGCCAAUCUACAAAAGAUUAGUCACAUGUAAUGUUUACAAUGUAGGUGUAAAAAUAAUGUAUUGAUAUAUUUCUUUUGUAUUUUAUGUCAUUCUCUUGUUUUGUUUGCAUGGCUCAAAAUAAACCAUUCAUUCAUUCAUUCAAUGAAGAAAGCCUGUAGUGCUCUAACCUUUAAGAUUGAUGAUGGGUUACUUUAAAAACAUUAGAUUUUUCACAGCAUGUAGACUGUUUCCCGACAGACAUAAGUGGUGUCCAAGCUGACCUCCUGCAACACAGGAUUGGAACGGUCCAUCAAGGGCCACACUUAGUGCCGUAGCGGGAGAAAUUGGCUGCUGUUCACUUGCUACUGAUGAGCCACAAGCGAGCAGAAAUGGACAAAAGAUAGUCUACUUUAUGGAAAUAUCAGGUUCAAAGUCAUUGCAAGUUGUUCUCCCGACAAGAAAAGACUAUUUCCCACCCUGAGAAGAGGCGACAUUCCUGCAGCAAACACCUGCUGCUCGCGUCGUUCUAGAGUACAAGUACAGAUGGCUGAUAAGAUGAGACCGCAACAUCUGGAAGAGCAGCGAAACACAGCUGUGUGACAAAGUGACAUUGCACAGCCAUCAGACUGUAUAAUGCAUAUGUUCCUUCUUGACUGCACUUAAAUGUAGAAUAUAUUUAUAUUAUUCAUAUCUUAUAAAUUAUAUUUAUAUAUAUAAUAUAUGUCAUAUUAUCUAUUUUUAUUAUUGUUUAUU